rnacentral:lncRNA from 1 species
AACACCCCCUCUUUUGUCCAAAGUUGGGUCACGUUCGAGAUCAACAACUGUGUCGGCAAUAAUCGGGCUGUUCAAACCCGCGCCAUCCGGAGCCUCCAUCUCCAAAGUUUCCUCCACAUCCGAGUCCUCCUCGUUAAUGACCAAGUCACUAUCUUUAAUAAUCACAUCUUUAACCCCCUGAACCGGAACCAGGAUUUUUUCCAACAAA